UCUAUGAUUAGGAUGGAGGACAAUGCUUGUUGUUCCAGAGUUUGAGAGGGAGGUUGAAUUGCUUUGGGAAUCAAGAGAUAAGCGAAAGCAACUAAGCUUGUUGAGGAACGAGCGUGAUCUUGUUGAAGACCAAGUUCAUCAUUUGAAGUGAUCUCUCAAAUUUGAAAGUCUUCGUGAUGAUGAAAAGCAGAAUAUGAUUUCAACUCUGAGUGAUUUGGAGUCUUGAAGGGAUCAAGUGUGACUUGCUCAUCAGCAGGUUCAACAGGAUUGU